CACGGGGAGAACCUCUGGAAAGUCUCUAAGUCAUCCGGGAAUAUUGGAGAAUGAGCUGUUUAGCAGAGAGCACAGAGGCGAGCCCUGCAGCCCUGCCCUGAGUGUUUCAGGGAGACUCUCAGCCACACCACAGCUGUGAUGAAGAGAAAGCAACGCCGACGACAGGGUCUAGGUGCCAGUCCCCACCAGGCACAGGGGCAAUCCGGGCGACCGUGUGACCCCGAUGUGGCAGAAAUGCUGGCAGCAACUGUGAGGCAUCGACAAGUUUGCUUUUAGAAAGAAAGAAAGGAACCAGCACUCACAGCCACUGCCACGCGCAUGGCCCUGCCUCACAGCUUCGGAACUAAUCCCACAAGAGGAGCCAAGCCGAUGAAACACAUGGGACAAACCCAGGAAGAGACGCCAAGACACGUGGAGAAAACUCACAGGUACACGGGACUUUGGGCUGAAAAUUCUGGGCCCCCUCGGUGGAGGUGAGCCUGGAGUCAUCCCAGUCCUGAAGAUUCUGGAGCUCCUGUGUCACGCAGCCACAUGAUGCCUCUAAGUUCCACGGCACUGCCAGCCCAGUGGGAGCACGGCAAAUUAGAUGGCAGAGUGACACAGAAGCCCACUCAGCUCCAUGAGCAAAACCUCAAACACGAAGCAGCAGCUCAAGAAACACUCAUGCAAGGACUUCAAUGACCCCACUGGGAGGCAGGACAAUUUUCAUAAGCUUUCUCU